CAAGCAGUAGGAGCCCACUUGUUGGGUGACUGCGUACCUUUUGUAUAAUGGGUCAGCGACUUAUAUUUUGUAGCGAGGUUAACCGAAUAGGGUAGCCGUAGGGAAACCGAGUCUUAACUGGGCGACUAGUUGCAAGGUAUAGACCCGAAACCCGGUGAUCUAGCCAUGGGCAGGUUGAAGGUUGAGUAACAUCAACUGGAGGACCGAACCCA
rnacentral:rRNA from 1 species